rnacentral:rRNA from 1 species
UGCCAGCCGCCGCGGUAAUACGGAGGGUGCAAGCGUUAAUCGGAAUUACUGGGCGUAAAGCGCACGUAGGCGGUUUGCUAAGUCAGAUGUGAAAUCCCCGAGCUUAACUUGGGAACUGCAUUUGAAACUGGCAGGCUAGAGUCUUGUAGAGGGGGGUAGAAUUCCAGGUGUAGCGGUGAAAUGCGUAGAGACCUGGAAGAAUACCGGUGGCGAAGGCGGCCCCCUGGACAAAGACUGACGCUCAGGUGCGAAAGCGUGGGGAGCAAACAGGAUUAGAUA